UACGUAGGGCGCAAGCGUUGUCCGGAAUUAUUGGGCGUAAAGAGCUCGUAGGUGGCUUGUCACGUCGGGUGUGAAAGCUUGGGGCUUAACUCCAGGUCUGCAUUCGAUACGGGCUGGCUAGAGGUAGGUAGGGGGAGAACGGAAUUCCUGGUGUAGCGGUGAAAUGCGCAGAUAUCAGGAGGAACACCGGUGGCGAAGGCGGUCUCUGGGCCUUACCUGACGCUGAGGAGCGAAAGCGUGGGGAGCGAACAGG
rnacentral:rRNA from 1 species